UUGACAUUAAAGUAUAACAUGACAUGAGAUGAAUAUUUGAAUUUUUUCGAACACCCAUUUUGAAGAAAUUAGUAAGUCCAGCCCACAACUGAAGCAAGUUAAAGGCAAGCGAUCAAAGAAAAUGUUAAGGUCCGAUGACAAUAACACAAUCAGUGCACAAAAAUAACAACAUUUACGAAGAACUAUAGAUGACUCAACCGAAAAACAAACCACCAGACAGAGAACCGUUUGAAAAGCAUCAGAAAUCAUUGUGUCCUAAGUAGAUUGCGAUUCAAAAGCGUCUCAAAACAAGCGCCAAAGUCAAGUCAAGGGGUCCCCUUCUUAAAAUGCGUCCCAGCAAUAUUUAUUUCAUAAAGCUUACAAAUUUGUGCAAAAUUUUUGCACACACAAAACUGAAAUCUAAAAGAGAGCGAUAUAUUUAUAUAUGGAGAGAGAGAGAGAGGGGAAAAGCAAAUACGAAUAGACGUACAAAUGAAUACCAUCCGAAGGGGGCAAAAUAUAAACCCCGAGGACAAAAGGCUGCACUCACUGAGGAGUUAACAAGCAGCCUACCCCGUUUCAGUUCUUUUAAGUGAUUUCAACCCGGAAAUGCCCAUAAAUCGAUUUGGGGGUGCUGCCGCACUCGCCCACGCCAGAGACUAAGUCGAGGACUUCUUGGUCUGCCGUUGUCGACACAUGGGGGCCGUUCGCUUUAUGGGAUAAAUGAAUGAAUUGAAAUGGGCGGCAAGUGUAUCGACUUAUGGUUGAGUUGAACAAGAAUGUGGCACACUUGUCUGCAGCUGUAUCCACGCCUAACCCCCGAGCCGCACCCUUUGCACAAUGCAAAUAAAAGUUCAUUACAAGAAACGGCCAAGGCGCUUAAAAGUGCCCUAAAUGUGUCGUCGCUUUGUUAUUGCCCGAUCCUGUUCCCUUGCAGGCGGAGUGUCUACUGUGCCGUGUUGGUGUGCGUAUUGUGUCUUUCUCCUGAUGCCAUUUAUGGUCAAUGCCCCCAUGCUUUGGGUUGCGGGUGCUGCCAGUCGAUAGUCGCUGGGUCGUGUGUGCGGCACAUGGCACCGGAAAUGCCACAUCCGUAGAGUCCGGACGGUCUGCACAGUCCGCCAAAGUACCGAGCGUGCAAAGCAAGUCAAUAAAAAAUUCUAAAGCCAAAAA